rnacentral:lncRNA from 1 species
CGUCGGAAGCGGUGGUGGCCGUCGUGUCUUCCUCAUCUUCUUCGUCCUCAUCAUCGUCGUCGUCGUCUAUUGACUAAACCGAAGGGCCACCGGAGGACUGUACGACCUCCUGGCCAUCGUCGCCAUCCUCAUCCUUAUCGUCGUCAUCGGCGGCGGCGUCGUCGUCCUCGUCUUCAUCGCUGUCCUCAUCCUCGUCUUCGAGGUCAUCGUCGUCGGAGGACUCUAAAACGGACUCGUAC